GAACGUGUGGACGAGCGGCGGAGGGUGAGUAACACGUGGUCAACCUGCCGGACUGAUGGGAAUAACCCCGGGAAACCGGGGCUAAUGCCCAAUACGCCCUGACCUCGCCUGAGGUCAGCGGUAAAGCAGGGAUCUUCGGAUCCUUGCACAGUCCGAUGGGCCCGCGGCGCAUUAGCUAGUUGGAGAGGUAAGGGCUCCCCAAGGCGACGAUGCGUAGCCGACCUGAGAGGGUGAUCGGCCACACUGGGACUGAGACACGGCCCAGACUCCUACGGGAGGCAGCAGUAGGGAAUCAUCCGCAAUGGGCGAAAGCCUGACGGUGCAACGCCGCGUGAGUGAUGAAGGUUUUCGGAUCGUAAAGCUCUGUUGACAGGGAAGAACCCACGCCAGUCGAACAGGCUGGCGUGCUGACGGUACCUGUCCAGAAAGCCCCGGCUAACUACGUGCCAGCAGCCGCGGUAAUACGUAGGGGGCAAGCGUUGUCCGGAAUUAUUGGGCGUAAAGGGCACGCAGGCGGUUUCGUCAGUCCGAUGUGACAGGCCACGGCUCAACCGUGGAAGGCCAUUGGAAACUGCGAAACUUGAGGACAGAAGAGGAGAGUGGAAUUCCACGUGUAGCGGUGAAAUGCGUAGAUAUGUGGAGGAACACCAGUGGCGAAGGCGACUCUCUGGUCUGUACCUGACGCUGAGGUGCGAAAGCAUGGGGAGCAAACAGGAUUAGAUACCCUGGUAGUCCAUGCCGUAAACGCUGAGUGCUAGGUGUUAGGGGUUUCGAUACCCGUAGUGCCGAAGCUAACGCAUUAAGCACUCCGCCUGGGGAGUACGACCGCUAGGUUGAAACUCAAAGGAAUUGACGGGGGCCCGCACAAGCGGUGAAGCAUGUGUUUUAAUUCGACGCAACGGAAAGAACCUUACAGAUCUUGACAUCUUCGGCUACGCCUCGGAGAGAGGCGGUUCCCUUCGGGGGAACGAAUUGACAGGGGUGCAUGGUUGUCCUCCAGCUCGGGGCGG
rnacentral:rRNA from 1 species